rnacentral:lncRNA from 1 species
AUGAGUAUUGCUACACUGUAUGAGGCGAUGCGUGUGAAUUAAUGAGUAUUGCUACACUGUAGGAGGCAAUGCGUGUAAAUUAGUGAGUAUAGCUACAUUGUAGGAGGAGAUAUGUGUGAAUUAGUGAGUAUAGCUACAUUGUAGGAGGCGAUAUGUGUGAAUUAGUGAGUAUAGCUACAUUGUAGGAGGAGAUAUGUGUGAAUUAGUGAGUAUAGCUACAUUGUAGGAGGCUAUGUGUGUGAAUUAGUGAGUAUAGCUACAUUGUAGGAGGCGAUAUGUGAAUUAGUGAGUAUAGCUACAUUGUAGCAGGCGAUAUGUGAAUUAGUGAGUAUAGCUACAUUGUAUAGCAUGAAUGAUGGCUGUAGAAUUGUGUAAACGAAAAUGAGUGUAAAACGAGGGAAAUAAACAGGCAGUAGAGAGCAGAUGGACUUGUGGUGAAGAUCGCGAGUAGAGUUCUAGUGGAGGCAGCAUUGAGUGAGUAGAUUUGUGGUGGAGGCACUGGUGAGCAGAUACAGUUGUGAUGGAGGCAGUGAGAGCAGGUAGACUUGUGGUGAAGAUCGUGAGUAGAGUUCUAGUGGAGGCAGCAUUGAGUGAGUAGAGUUUAGAUGAAGGCAGCAGUGAGUGAGUAGAUUUGUGGUGGAGGCAGUGGUGAGCAGAUACAUUUGUAAUAGAGGUAGUAUAGAGCGGAUACAGUUGUGAUGAAGACCAUGAGUUUGUGAUGGAGGAAGUAGUGAGCGGAUAGAGUUGUGAUGGAGGCAGCUGUGAGUGGAUAGAGUUGUGGUGGAGGCAGCGGUGAGCAGAUAGAGUUGUGAUGGAGGCAGUGGUCAGCUGAUAGAGUUGUGGUGGAGGCAGCAGUGAGCAGAUAGAGUUGUGAUGGAGGUAGUGGUGAGCAGAUAGAGUUGUGGUGGAGGCAGCGGUGAGCAGGUAGAGUUGUGGUGGAGGCAGCAUUGAGCGAGUAGAAUAAUGAUGGAGACAGCAGUAAGUGAGUAGAUUUUUGGUGGAGGCAGUGGUGAGCAGAUACAUUUGUAAUAGAGGUAGUAUAGAGCGGAUACAGUUGUGAUGAAGACCAUGAGUUUGUGAUGGAGGCAGUAGUGAGCGGAUAGAGUUGUGAUGGAGGCAGCUGUGAGUGGAUAGAGUUGUGGUGGAGGCAGCGGUGAGCAGAUAGAGUUGUGAUGGAGGCAGUGGUGAGCAGAUAGAGUUGUGGUGGAGGCAGCAUUGAGCUAGUAGAAUAAUGAUGGAGACAGCAGUAAGUGAGUAGAUUUUUGGUGGAGGCAGUGGUGAGCAGAUACAUUUGUAAUAGAGGUAGUAUAGAGCGGAUACAGUUGUGAUGAAGACCAUGAGUUUGUGAUGGAGGCAGUAGUGAGCAGAUAGAGUUGUGAUGGAGGCAGUGGUGAGCAGAUAGAGUUGUGAUAGAGGCAGCGGUGAGCAGAUAGAGUUGUGAUGGAGGCAGUGGUGAGCAGAUAGAGUUGUGGUGGAGGCAGCGGUGAGCAGGUAGAGUUGUGGUGGAGGCAGCGGUGAGCAGGUAGAGUUGUGAUAGAGGCAGUGGUGAGCAGAUAGAGUUGUGAUAGAGGCAGUGGUGAGCAGAUAGAGUUGUGGUGGAGGCAGCGGUGAGCAGGUAGAGUUGUAGUGGAGGCAGCGGUGAGCAGGUAGAGUUGUGGCGGAGGCAGCAUUGAGUGAGUAGAGUUGUGGUGGAGGCAGUGGUGAGCAGAUAGAGUUGUGAUGGAGGCAGUGGUGAGCAGAUAGAGUUGUGGUGGAGGCAGCGGUGAGCAGGUAGAGUUGUGGUGGAGGCAGCGGUGAGCAGGUUGAGUUGUGGUGGAGGCAGUAGUUGUAUGUUUAGGAGGCAGGUUUAUGUGUAUUAUCUGAUUUGGGGUUACGUGUUUGGGAUUUGGGGUUAGACUGGAGCAAAGGAGAUAUUUCAAUGAAUACAUUUAUGUAAAGGAUGAAUGUUGACGUUUGGACAAGCAGUGUGUGCAUUUGGCAUGAGACAUGAAUGGGUCAGGUAUUUUUUAUGUUAUCAGCAUUUGGCGUCCAUUAUAGUGUAGUGUUAGUUAACGCUAGAACACCUAUAUUUCCUGUUUUCUCCUAGUAGAGAUUUUUUACCUCUAUCUAAACUUAUUUAAUGGAUAUUGCUCUCUGACCAAGACUGAAAGCCAGCUGGGUUAAAUAACGGGGUGCACUCGAGAAUUGCAGGGGCUCUCUGUGUCUUUAAUUUACUGGAAUGAUGCCUCUUACUGCCUCCCAUUCCACCCACACUGACAUAAUAACCAUGAUGACACACUGCACACUCCACUGGCAGCAACUUAAUAAGGACCAGCAAUUGUCAGCCUGGUCUCACAUUAUUUUGCUUUGCACUGACAGGGGUUGGAGGGCUCAGCUGAUAUCCCCCCUCUUCUAUGGUUCUUAGUAUGAUCCACUCCUACCGCAUGUGUGGAGAGCAGAGCAUAUGGAGGUACGUGGAGGCUGAUUAAAGUAUGAGAUGUUUUAUAUACAAAGCAGUAUGUAAGCUGUUUUUAAUGAUAGGGGCCGGGAGAGCUGUAUGUAUAAGGCCUUAAGGAAGAGUCAGAUUGGUUUUUUUCAUGUGUUUUAUCACUUUCUCUGUAUUUCUCUGUUUUUCCUCCACAUCGUUUCUUCAAAA